GACCUCAAAUCAGGUAGGGCUACCCGCUGAACUUAAGCAUAUCAUAAGCGGAGGAAAAGAAACUAACAAGGAUUCCCCUAGUAACGGCGAGUGAACGGGGAAGAGCUCAAUUUGAAAUCGGGCGUCCUCAGGGCGUCCGAGUUGUAAUCUAUAGAGACGUUUUCCGUGCCGGACCGUGUCCAAGUCCCUUGGAACAGGGUACCAAAGAGGGUGACAAUCCCGUACUUGACACGACGACCGGCGCUCUGUGAUACGUCUUCUACGAGUCGAGUUGUUUGGGAAUGCAGCUCAAGCGAGAGACCGAUAGCGAACAAGUACCGUGAGGGAAAGAUGAAAAGCACUUGGAAAGAGAGUUAAACAGUACGUGAAAUUGUUGAAAGGGAAACGAUUGAAGUCAGUCGUGUCCAAGGGGUUCAGCCGGUUCUGCCGGUGUAUUCCCUUCGGAUGGGUCAACAUCAGUUUUGUCCGGUGGAUAAGGAGAUGGGAAGGUGGCACCCUCGGGUGUGUUAUAGCCCGUCGCCACAUACACCGGACGAGACUGAGGAUCGCAGCUCGCGCAUCAGCGCCGGGGUUCGCCCACGUCCGAGCUUAGGAUGUUGACAUAAUGGCUUUAAACGACCCGUCUUGAAACACGGACCAAGGAGUCUAACAUACCUGCGAGUGUUUGGGUGUCAAACCCGAGCGCGCAAUGAAAGUGAACGUAGGAGGGAUCCGCAAGGAGCACCUUUGACCGAUCUGGAUCUUCUGUGAUGGAUUUGAGUAAGAGCAUGUAUGCUGGGACCCGAAAGAUGGUGAACUAUGCCUGAAUAGGGUGAAGCCAGGGGAAACUCUGGUGGAGGCUCGUAGCGAUUCUGACGUGCAAAUCGAUCGUCAAAU
rnacentral:rRNA from 1 species